rnacentral:misc_RNA from 1 species
CACCAAGGAAUACCUUGACUUAUCAAUUAUAGAGAAUUGAAAACUAAGAUAAUUCAAAGGGAGAAUUAAGGAUUCUUGACUCAAAUUUUAUAAUUAAACAAGAACUAAGAGUAUCAAGAUUGUUAAACCCUAUAAGAUUAAUCACUCUUGGAGAAUUUAGUUUAGUUCAAGAAAAAACUUUAAGAAAAAUCCCUUUCUUGUAUUAAUUUUAAUCAAAAGUAAUGUUUAAUUGAAAAAGUAUUAAAUUAGCCUUAUAUAUGCAGCUAAAACCCUAUAUCCCUAAGCUAAAAAUA